rnacentral:rRNA from 1 species
UACGAAGGGGGCUAGCGUUGCUCGGAAUCACUGGGCGUAAAGCGCACGUAGGCGGACUCUUAAGUCGGUGGUGAAAUCCUGGAGCUCAACUCCAGAACUGCCUUCGAUACUGAGAGUCUCGAGUCCGAGAGAGGUGAGUGGAACUGCGAGUGUAGAGGUGAAAUUCGUAGAUAUUCGCAAGAACACCAGUGGCGAAGGCGGCUCACUGGCCCGGUACUGACGCUGAGGUGCGAAAGCGUGGGGAGCAAACAGGG